rnacentral:sRNA from 1 species
GUAGCUUCCUUGUCGUGUGGCCUCAGUCCUUCGCCGUCCCUCGCCGUCCUUCGCCAUCGCACGCCACCGCACCCCAUCUCUCGAAAUCUGCAGACAUCUUGAUUUUUCCCACGCUGUCUGUCAGGUCUCCGCCGCCACUCGACGCCAGGGCGCCGGGCCUUGUGGGCUGUGCUGCACCUCGGACGGCUUCGCACCAGCCAGCGCCCUCUCUCUCCUGCAGCACUCUGAUCUGCACCCCCUGAGGGGCUUCCACUGUCCGCGGGGUGAGAAUGCCCCUGGGAGUGUCACAUGACUGCCGCCCCAUGUGUGUGAGAGGCGUCCUCUGGGAGAGCAUGGAUCCUGAGGUCCCAGGAACAUCCCGAGAGCCAAGUUCCCAGAUGCCAGCCAAGGGCCAUCUGACCUGUUUUGAAUCUCAAUUUCCUGAUACAGAAAACAAAGGAUUGUCAGCUGACCUCUGUCCUGUGUGCCCAGUGGCCCCAGGUGACGUGUCUUCAAGAAGAGGCUGAGCUGCGGUGCUUGUAAGGCAGGGUCUCAUUCUGUCACCCAGGCUGGAGUGCAGUGGUGCAAUGAUGGCUCACUGCAGCCUCGACCUGGGCUCAAGUGAUCCUCCACCUCAGCUUCCUGAGUAGCUGGGACCACAGAGUCAUGUGCUGUUCCUGGGGCUUGGAUGAUGUAGGGGAAGCAAGGUGAAAGUGGUAUCCCGUGGUUCCACGUUCUGUCCUGCUGUGGGGCUGUCCCUCACAUGCUUUCAGUGGCUGUUGCAGAGGAAGAGCCUCCGGAAAUCUGCGUCUCAGCCUUAGAUCCAAGGACAGUCCAAGGAAGUCCUAAGACCAUGGAGUUGGUGAUCUAGGAUCUGGGUUUGCUGAUAUUUCUCACCGUGAAUCUCUUGGUGGUGUUUGUGGGCACGAGAGGGGCAGAGAAUGGAGAGUGAGGCUACCACAUGAAGCGUCACCAGAGCUGCUCCCUGCUGCCUGCUCAGAGCACCCCGGAUCCACUGUUCAAUCUGCACAAGAUUCGGGGUCCAGACAUGGGAGACUUCAGCUGCCUCAGAGGACCGUGGACAGGGAAGGCCAGCCUCGCAUCCCUCUGUCCAUGCCUGGAAUGACUUUAAUAACCAAGAGUUUUAUUUUUGAAUUUGUAGCUGUCGUUCACUUUUUACCCACCCAUUCAAUAAACCUUACAGAAUUGC